AUCCUGGCUCAGGAUGAACGCUGGCGGCGUGCUUAACACAUGCAAGUCGAACGAUGAUCCCCNGCUUGCNUGGGGGAUUAGUGGCGAACGGGUGAGUAACACGUGAGUAACCUGCCCUUAACUNUGGGAUAAGCCUGGGAAACUGGGUCUAAUACCGGAUAUGACUCCUCAUCGCAUGGUGGGGGGUGGAAAGCUUUUGUGGUUUUGGAUGGACUCGCGGCCUAUCAGCUUGUUGGUGAGGUAAUGGCUCACCAAGGCGACGACGGGUAGCCGGCCUGAGAGGGUGACCGGCCACACUGGGACUGAGACACGGCCCAGACUCCUACGGGAGGCAGCAGUGGGGAAUAUUGCACAAUGGGCGGAAGCCUGAUGCAGCGACGCCGCGUGAGGGAUGACGGCCUUCGGGUUGUAAACCUCUUUCAGUAGGGAAGAAGCGAGAGUGACGGUACCUGCAGAAGAAGCGCCGGCUAACUACGUGCCAGCAGCCGCGGUAAUACGUAGGGCGCAAGCGUUAUCCGGAAUUAUUGGGCGUAAAGAGCUCGUAGGCGGUUUGUCGCGUCUGCCGUGAAAGUCCGGGGCUCAACUCCGGAUCUGCGGUGGGUACGGGCAGACUAGAGUGAUGUAGGGGAGACUGGAAUUCCUGGUGUAGCGGUGAAAUGCGCAGAUAUCAGGAGGAACACCGAUGGCGAAGGCAGGUCUCUGGGCAUUAACUGACGCUGAGGAGCGAAAGCAUGGGGAGCGAACAGGAUUAGAUACCCUGGUAGUCCAUGCCGUAAACGUUGGGCACUAGGUGUGGGGGACAUUCCACGUUUUCCGCGCCGUAGCUAACGCAUUAAGUGCCCCGCCUGGGGAGUACGGCCGCAAGGCUAAAACUCAAAGGAAUUGACGGGGGCCCGCACAAGCGGCGGAGCAUGCGGAUUAAUUCGAUGCAACGCGAAGAACCUUACCAAGGCUUGACAUGAACCGGUAAGACCUGGAAACAGGUCCCCCACUUGUGGCCGGUUUACAGGUGGUGCAUGGUUGUCGUCAGCUCGUGUCGUGAGAUGUUGGGUUAAGUCCCGCAACGAGCGCAACCCUCGUUCCAUGUUGCCAGCGCGUUAUGGCGGGGACUCAUGGGAGACUGCCGGGGUCAACUCGGAGGAAGGUGGGGACGACGUCAAAUCAUCAUGCCCCUUAUGUCUUGGGCUUCACGCAUGCUACAAUGGCCGGUACAAAGGGUUGCGAUACUGUGAGGUGGAGCUAAUCCCAAAAAGCCGGUCUCAGUUCGGAUUGGGGUCUGCAACUCGACCCCAUGAAGUCGGAGUCGCUAGUAAUCGCAGAUCAGCAACGCUGC
rnacentral:rRNA from 1 species